AUGAACGCUAGCGGCAGGCCUAACACAUGCAAGUCGAGGGGUAACAUUGGUGCUUGCACCAGAUGACGACCGGCGCACGGGUGCGUAACGCGUAUACAAUCUACCUUUUGCUAAGGGAUAGCCCAGAGAAAUUUGGAUUAAUACCUUAUAGUAUGCAGACUUCUCAUGGAGAUUGCAUUAAAGAUUACGGCAAAAGAUGAGUAUGCGUCCUAUUAGUUUGUUGGUGUGGUAACGGCACACCAAGACUACGAUAGGUAGGGGCCCUGAGAGGGGGAUCCCCCACACUGGUACUGAGACACGGACCAGACUCCUACGGGAGGCAGCAGUGAGGAAUAUUGGACAAUGGAGGCAACUCUGAUCCAGCCAUGCCGCGUGCAGGAAGACUGCCCUAUGGGUUGUAAACUGCUUUUAUACAGGAAGAAACACUCCCUCGUGAGGGAGCUUGACGGUACUGUAAGAAUAAGGAUCGGCUAACUCCGUGCCAGCAGCCGCGGUAAUACGGAGGAUCCAAGCGUUAUCCGGAAUCAUUGGGUUUAAAGGGUCCGUAGGUGGAUAAUUAAGUCAGAGGUGAAAGUUUGCAGCUCAACUGUAAAAUUGCCUUUGAUACUGGUUAUCUUGAGUUAUUGUGAAGUAGUUAGAAUAUGUAGUGUAGCGGUGAAAUGCAUAGAUAUUACAUAGAAUACCAAUUGCGAAGGCAGAUUACUAACAAUAUACUGACACUGAUGGACGAAAGCGUGGGUAGCGAACAGGAUUAGAUACCCUGGUAGUCCACGCCGUAAACGAUGGAUACUAGCUGUUGGGCUUCGGCUCAGUGGCUAAGCGAAAGUGAUA
rnacentral:rRNA from 1 species